rnacentral:rRNA from 1 species
AGUGAAGUGGGAUGAGCUCAGCACCGAAGCCGGCCGCCGAGAGGCAGUCGUGCAAUGUGGUGUUCGGGAGGGCUCUGUCCGUGACGGGCGUUGGUCCAAGUCUCCUGGAAAGGAGUUCCGUGGAGGGUGACAGGCCCGUGCGACCAAUUGCCACGCUUGCGGAUGAGUUCUCCUUCGAGUCGGGUUGUUCGCUAAUGCAGCCCCAAGCAGGUGGUAAGCUCCAUCUAAGGCUAAAUAUAACCACGAGUCCGAUAGUCAACAAGUACAGUGAUGGAAAGUUGAAAAGUACUCUGAAGAGAGAGUCAAAUAGCCCGUGAAGCUGCCAGUAUGGGAUUAAGCGCACGUGUGACGCGUGUCGUCUCGACAAAUAGGCGACUCUCGGCUGCGAUGUGCGAGCGUAUUCGGCGGCGCGUCUAGCGGCGUGCUCGUUGGUCGUUUGCACAGUGCGUGGUCGGGAGCACGCUUCCCUUUGUUGAACAUUGACAGGUCGGGGCUUCGUUGCUCGGUCUUAUUGCCGGUUACAAUCUGCAGAGCCGUGUCGGGCCGGUGUACACUCUCGGGUGUGUGCCGGUGCUCCGUCGAAUGUGCACGUUCGCGUGGCGACGGCCGGCCUGGUCUGCGGUGUGAUGUGACCGCGUUUGCGAACGACUGAGCGACGGCCAGCGCAAAUCGAUCAUUCGGUCGGCUCGGCCUUUGCGUCGUCAUGUGCGGCCCGUCUUGAAACACGGACCAAGGAGUCUAACAUGUGAGCGAGCGAUUGAGAUUGUCUAAUCUCAAACGCGCAAUGAAAGUGAAGUGUCGUCUGACGGCACGAGCGGAGAUCGUCGGUCAUUCGUGGCCGACGCGCAUCCGCGGGCCGCGCCAUUGGCUGGCUUGCUGUUCUUCGGAGUAGCACUGCUGAGGCGCGGACCUAGAGCCCACACGUUGGGACCCGAAAGAUGGUGAACUAUGCCUGGCCAGGAUGAAGCCAGAGGAAACUCUGGUGGAGGUCCGCCGCGAUUCUGACGUGCAAAUCGAUCGUCUGAGCUGGGUAUAGGGGCGAAAGACCAAUCGAACCAUCUAGUAGCUGGUUCCGCCCGAAGUUUCCCUCAGGAUAGCUGGCGCUCGUGUGAUACGGAGUUUCAUCCGGUAAAGCGAAUGAUCAGAGGAGCUGGGCUCCUUGCGAGCUCAACCUAUUCUCAAACUUUCAAUGGGUGAGACGUCUCGCUGGCUUCACUGCAGCGACGACUCUGAAUCCGAGUGCCCAGUGGGCCACUUUUGGUAAGCAGAACUGGCGAUGCGGGAUGAACCGCAUGUCGAGUUAAGGUGCCUAAGCGGACGCAAAUCAGAUACCAUGAAAGGUGUUGAUUGCUCACGACAGCAGGACGGUGGCCAUGGAAGUCGGCAUCCGCUAAGGAGUGUGUAACAACUCACCUGCCGAAGCAAUCAGCCCUGAAAAUGGAUGGCGCUAAAGCGUCCCACCGAUACUCGACCGUCGUCGGCAUGCGACAGUCUCUGUCUGUCUGAAGCCACGACGAGUAGGGCGGCGCGGUGGUGAGCGUUGAAGGCGUAGCCGUGAGGCUAGCUGGAGCCGCCAUCGGUGCAGAUCUUGGUGGUAGUAGCAAAUACACAAGCAAGAUCCUUGUGGACCGAUGUGGAGAAGGGUUCCGCGCGAACAGUAUUUGGACGUGGGUGAGUCGGCCCUAAGCCAACGGGUAAUUCCCGCAUCCCGUGUGCAUUACACGUAUGUAUAAACAACAUGGGUUGAU